CUGGCGGCGUGCUUAACACAUGCAAGUCGUACGAGAACUCUUCUGCUUGCAGAAGAUAGUAAAGUGGCGCACGGGUGAGUAACGCGUGGGUAAUCUACCUCUGAAUCGGGGAUAACCCGCCGAAAGGCGAGCUAAUACCGGAUAAUAUCUUUAAAACUUAGGUUUUUAAGAUCAAAGGUGGUCUCUACAUGUAAGCUACUGUUUGGAGAUGAGCCCGCGUACCAUUAGCUUGUUGGUAGGGUAAUGGCCUACCAAGGCCGCGAUGGUUAGCUGGUCUGAGAGGAUGAUCAGCCACACUGGAACUGACACACGGUCCAGACUCCUACGGGAGGCAGCAGUGAGGAAUUUUGCGCAAUGGGGGAAACCCUGACGCAGCAACGCCGCGUGAAUGAUGAAGGCUUUCGGGUCGUAAAGCUCUGUCAAGUGGGAAGAACUUGCUCGAUGUUAACACCAUCUAGCACUGACGGUACCACUAAAGGAAGCACCGGCUAACUCCGUGCCAGCAGCCGCGGUAAUACGGGGGGUGCAAGCGUUAUUCGGAAUUAUUGGGCGUAAAGGGCAGCGUAGGCGGUCUCUAAAGUCAGAUGUGAAAGCCCGGGGCUUAACCCCGGAAGUGCAUUUGAAACUCAGGGACUUGAGUAU
rnacentral:rRNA from 1 species